rnacentral:rRNA from 1 species
UCAGACGAUGCGUCAUGCAUAUCAAUAAGCGGAGGAAAAGAAACUAACAAGGAUUCCCCUAGUAACGGCGAGUGAAGCGGGAAGAGCUCAAAUUUGAAAUCUUAAAGGGUUUCCCUUUACGAAUUGUAGUUUAAAGAAGUGUUUUCUGUUGAGGUUUUGGUAAAAGUUCUUUGGAAUAGGACAUCAUAGAGGGUGAGAAUCCCGUAUUUGACCUUUACUUUCAACUUUGUGAUACACUUUCAAAGAGUCGGAUUGUUUGGGAAUGCAGUCCAAAAUGGGUGGUAAAUUUCAUCUAAAGCUAAAUAUUGGCGAGAGACCGAUAGCGAACAAGUACCGUGAGGGAAAGAUGAAAAGAACUUUGAAAAGAGAGUUAAACAGUACGUGAAAUUGUCAAAAGGGAAGCGUUUGACACCAGUGUUGUUUUUCUGAAAAUCAAUUAAAGAACUGUUUAUGCUAAGCUGUUUAGACUUUAUCAGCUAUCUGUUUAGUUUUAGGCUUUUCUUUAAUGCACUUUUCAGUUAACAAGUCAACAUCAAUUUCUUUUGCUGUAAAAAAGCUUGAGGAAGGUGGCUUGAGAUUCGUCUUAAGUGUUUAUAGCCUCUUGCCUAUGCAGUCGGAGAGAUUGAGGUCUGCAGCGUAGAUCCUUCGGGGCUAAAUGCAUUUGUGCUAAGUUAUAGCAUUUUAUAGACAACUUGUUGACUAUGAUUUGUCUUGUAGCUUACUCGCUCAUGUUAUUUUACCUACGCUUAGGAUGUUGACACACGCGCGUGCUCG